rnacentral:rRNA from 1 species
ACGAACGCUGGCGGCGUGCUUCACACAUGCAAGUCGCACGGAAAGGCCCUGCUUUUGUGGGGUGCUCGAGUGGCGAACGGGUGAGUAACACGUGAGUAACCUGCCCUUGACUUUGGGAUAACUUCAGGAAACUGGGGCUAAUACCGGAUAGGAGCUCCUGCUGCAUGGUGGGGGUUGGAAAGUUUCGGCGGUUGGGGAUGGACUCGCGGCUUAUCAGCUUGUUGGUGGGGUAGUGGCUUACCAAGGCUUUGACGGGUAGCCGGCCUGAGAGGGUGACCGGCCACAUUGGGACUGAGAUACGGCCCAGACUCCUACGGGAGGCAGCAGUGGGGAAUAUUGCACAAUGGGCGGAAGCCUGAUGCAGCAACGCCGCGUGCGGGAUGACGGCCUUCGGGUUGUAAACCGCUUUCGCCUGUGACGAAGCGUGAGUGACGGUAAUGGGUAAAGAAGCACCGGCUAACUACGU